UUAUAGAUAAUACAAGCAUAU
rnacentral:miRNA from 1 species